GAUCCUGGCUCAGGAUGAACGCUAGCUACAGGCUUAACACAUGCAAGUCGAGGGGCAGCGGGAAGUCAGCUUGCUGACUUUGCCGGCGACCGGCGCACGGGUGAGUAACACGUAUCCAACCUGCCCAUCACUUGGGAAUAACCUUGCGAAAGUAAGACUAAUGCCCAAUGAUACCCCACGAAGGCAUCCGAAUGGGAUUAAAGAUUUAUCGGUGAUGGAUGGGGAUGCGU
rnacentral:rRNA from 1 species